rnacentral:rRNA from 1 species
UACGUAGGGUGCGAGCGUUAAUCGGAAUUACUGGGCGUAAAGCGUGCGCAGGCGGUUCGUCGUGUCCGAUGUGAAAGCCCCGGGCUCAACCUGGGAAUGGCAUUGGAAACUGGCGGACUCGAGUGUGGCAGAGGGGGGUGGAAUUCCGCGUGUAGCAGUGAAAUGCGUAGAGAUGCGGAGGAACACCGAUGGCGAAGGCAGCCCCCUGGGCUAACACUGACGCUCAGGCACGAAAGCGUGGGGAGCAAACGAGGAUUACGAA